rnacentral:rRNA from 1 species
CUUUGCUCGGGGCAGAUAGCUGAGUAACACGUGACUAACCUGCCCUAUGGAUGGAGAUAACCUCGGUAACGUGAGGCUAAUUUCCAAUAGCAGAUGAUUGCUGGAAAGCGUCGUCUGUGAAAUGUUCCGACGCCAUAGGAUGGAGUCGCGGCUGAUUAGGUCGUUGGUGAGGUAACGGCUCACCAAGCCAGUAAUCAGUAGCAGCCGUGAGAGCGGGAGCUGCCAGUUGGCUUCUGAGACAAGAAGCCAGACCCUACGGGGUGCAGCAGGCACGAAACCUUCACAAUGCACGAGAGUGCGAUGGGGGGACUCCGAGUGUAAUCUUCCCACAAGGAAGGUUACUUUUCUGCACUGUAAGGAGGUGCCGGAACAAGGGGUGGGCAAUACUGCUGCCAGCCGCCGCGGUAAUAGCAGAACCCCAAGUGGUAGUCGUUAUUAUUGGGCUUAAAGUGUUCGUAGCCUGCCAUGCAAGUCCGCUGUGAAAUCCACGCGCUUAACGUGUGGGCGUGCAGCGGAUACUGUAUGGCUAGGGACCGGACGGCGUUGAGGCUAUUCCCAGGGUAGGAGUGAAAUCCUAAAAUCCUGGGAGGAGCACCUGUGGCGAAAGCGCUCAACGAGUACGGAUCCGACGGUGAGGAACGAAAGCCAGGGGAGCAAAGCGGAUUAGAUACCCGCGUAGUCCUGGCCGUUAACAAUGUGCGUUUGAUGUCGGCUAACCUCCGAGGUUAGCCGGGGCCGAAGUGAAAACGUUAAACGCACCGCCUGGGAAGUACGGUCGCAAGGCUGAAACUUAAAGGAAUUGACGGGGGAGCACCACAACCGGUGGAGACUGCGGUUUAAUUAGAUCAAACGCAGAGUACCCUACCAGAGCCGACAGCAGAAUGACGGUCAGCUUGAAGAGCUUACCUGACGCGCUGAGAGGAGCUGCAUGGCCGCCGUCAGCUCGUGCUGUGAAGUGUCCGGUUAAGUCCGGUAACGAGCGAGACCCGCACUCUAUGUUGCAAAGGAUUCCUUCGGGAAUUCUGCACUCGUAGAGGACCGCUGGCGAUAAGCCAGGGGAAGGAGCGGGCCACGGUAGGUCAGUAUGGCCCGAAUGCUCUGGGAUACACGCGGCC